ACUUUAUUUGCGCAGCAUAGGUGGGAGGCACCUGAGUUUAUUCUUGCGGGAAUUUAGGAGCCAUCAGUGAGAUACCACUCUGGUAAUGUUAGAUUUCUAACUUUGUAUCAUGAUCUGGUCAAAGAACAGUUUCAGGCGGGCAGUUUGACUGGGGCGGUCGCCUCCCAAAUGGUAACGGAGGCGUACAAAGGUUUCCUCUGAACGUGUAGAAAUCGUAUCUAGAGUGUAAAGGCAUAAGGAAGCUUGACUGUGAGACCUACAAGUCGAGCAGGGACGAAAGUCGGUCUUAGUGAUCUGACGGUGCUGAGUGGAAAGGCCGUCACUCAACGGAUAAAAGUUACUCUAGGGAUAACAGGCUGA
rnacentral:rRNA from 1 species